CGUUAGCUAUUGCAGCGGCAUCCUUUUUUGGUGGGCGCAGCCCGCGAAAAAAGAUACAGCGGAAAGAGCGACCCGAU
rnacentral:sRNA from 1 species